CUCAAAGAUUAAGCCAUGCAAGUGGUUAUAUUAACCCGACAGUUUAAAUAAGUGUUAAAUGCUACAUUAAACUUAUACACACACUCACGCACACACACACACACACGAUUUUGUUUACAGUAGUAACAAUUUCAGCGUGAAUCACUUCUUACGCAGUGAAUCACUUGAAUUUUACACAUUCAGUAUCACUUACGCAACUGCAGACAGCUGCUUAAUACAGUCACACUUGUCUUGACUUGGCGUCAUUAUUUAAGAAUUUCCAUUCGGAACACUUUGCUCACGCAAGGCUUACGGGUGGAUUUUUUUUUAUAUAUCGACUUUUGUCGUGCAUACCCACGCAUACAAAAUUCAUUUUGAUUUCUCUGUAUCGCUUAUUCUCAAAGGACAUGCGUUACACCGUGACAAUUUUCUUUUUAUGGAUAACUCAGGGAAAGUUUGGCUAAUACGUACGAGUACAUAUACCACACACACACACACACACGAUACAGAAUUUAUUUUGUUUUGCUGCGUGUAUCGACACACACACACACACACACACACUUUACUACUCAGCACUCAGUGGUACACUUUGGCCACGCUCGCGCGGUCAGUAUAAAGUUUAACUGCAACAUGAGAGACAUWGAGCACGCACGUGUCGUUCCUUCGGGAACUUCACAUCACGCUGAGCAGACUUUGCGAAGUUUACUUUGCGAAGCAUGUCAUACAAGCAUCUACAGCAUCAAGUCACAGGGUUGGCAAGUGUAUUUUUGAACCUUCAAAGCAGUCACGCAUACGGAAGAGUAGUUUCUGAUCCCAUAGAAGGAGCACCGUACAAUGAGAGACCGCUCUUAGUUCUAAGGAACGCAGCAGGCGCGUAAAUUGCCCAAUGCUAGUACCCUACAAUCUAUUUAUAAAUUGUAUUACCAUGCGUUAACAAUUUACAACAUAACAAGUUUAUUACACACAUAUAGCACUAUAUUUUUUUCUGUCACACACAGAAGACAUCCUUGUUCGUUGUUUAUUCAGCAUUUUAAGCUACAUAUAUUUUUAUAUUAGUUAUUUUACUGAGGCAGUGACAAGCUGUAACGGUUGAGUAUAAAAAUGACGAGUGUCUGGCAUUGCCGCUCUUUCGGGAGCUUGGCAAGUUGCCGACGCUUUGUGUGCUCAAUUGGAAUGCGGUGAGUUUAAGCAACUCAGAACCUUUGGACGGUGUUAGUAAAAUUUCACUGUUCGUGUAUCUGAAUUUCAAGUGGAGGGCAAGUCUGGUGCCAGCAGCCGCGGUAAUACCAGCUCCACUGGCCUAUACAAUCAUUGUU
rnacentral:rRNA from 1 species